AACGAACGCUGGCGGCGUGGAUAAGGCAUGCAAGUCGAACGGGCUUUAACGGGUGGUAACAUCUGUUAAGGCUAGUGGCGAACGGGUGAGUAACACGUGGGCAAUCUGCCUCGAAGUGGGGGAUAACAUCGGGAAACCGGUGCUAAUACCGCGUAAUAUCCAGGGAUCGCAUGUUUCCUGGAUCAAAGGUGGGGAUCUUUCGGGACCUACCGCUUUGAGAGGAGCCCGCGGUCGAUUAGCUUGUUGGUGAGGUAAUGGCUCACCAAGGCGACGGUCUGUAGCGGGUCUGAGAGGAUGAUCCGCCACACUGGAACUGAGACACGGUCCAGACUCCUACGGGAGGCAGCAGUGGGGAAUUUUGGACAAUGGGCGCAAGCCUGAUCCAGCCAUGCCGCGUGAGUGAAGAAGGCCUCGG
rnacentral:rRNA from 1 species